rnacentral:rRNA from 1 species
CCUACGGGUGGCAGCAGUGAGGAAUAUUGGUCAAUGGGCGCGAGCCUGAACCAGCCAAGUCGCGUGAAGGAUGACUGCCCUCCGGGUUGUAAACUUCUUUUAUAAAGGAAUACAGUGAGGCACGUGUGCCUUUUUGUAUGUACUUUAUGUAUAAGGAUCGGCUAACUCCGUGCCAGCAGCCGCGGUAAUACGGAGGAUCCGAGCGUUAUCCGGAUUUAUUGGGUUUAAAGGGAGCGUAGAUGGGUUGUUAAGUCAGUUGUGAAAGUUUGCGGCUCAACCGGAAAAUUGCAAUUGAUACUGGCAGCCUUGAGUAUAGGUGAGGUAGGCGGAAUUCGUGGUGUAGCGGUGAAAUGCUUAGAUAUCACGAAGAACACCGAUGGCGAAGGCAGCUUACUAAACUGCCACUGACAUUGAUGCUCGAAAGUGUGGGUAUCAAACAGGAUUAGAUACCCCAGUAGUC